UCUGCCGCUGCCACUGCUGUAGCUGCCACCACUGCUGCUGCUGCUGCUGUAGCCACUGCCACUGCUGCUGCUGGAGAUGCCCCUGCUGCUGUCAGAGCCGCUGCUGCCCCUGUUGGAGCUGGACCCGGAGCUGGAGCUGGCUGAAGAAACUGGACUGCAAGACCUUAAUUCUGAAGACGCCACAUGCUUUGGUUGCAGAACACUGAAAAAUCAAGCUGUAAUCCUUCCCAAUGGCUAGCUGUCAGAAACCUGGAAAGUGCUGAGGGGAAAAAGUCAUCGAGUCUUGACCAGCAGUCAACCCUACAAACUACACAAGUUUCCAACCAGACAAGGUGUGAUCACUGGUAUAGUAGUAGCUUGUAGAGGUAGCCAGCUGCUCUCUGAGUGGAUUUGACUCCUGCUUCAUGGAAUGGAAUCCAUGCUGGGUACUGAAAACCUAGUCAAAAGCCUGUGGCUGAGAAGGUCAUAAGCUACUAUUAGUACUGCUACUAUUGUUUGAGUAAAAAUGUAUAUUAUAUCCAUAAAAUUAUCCUCUAAAUA